rnacentral:tRNA from 1 species
GCUUUUAAUUUAAAUUUAAAAUAUUAAUUUUGUAAAUUAAAAAUAUAUAAAAUUAUAUAAAGCU